AGACAGGCCCUCUUAAGGGCCACAUACAUGGGUUGAUAGAUUGCUG
rfam:Xenopus tropicalis strain Nigerian Chr01_contig_4643, whole genome shotgun sequence.